GUUCAUUAAGUGGCAGUCCUUAUAUCUCCCACGUACUGCCCAGUGGUCACCAUCCAGUGUCUAGCACUCUCUGCAGCUUGCUUAUGCUUCUCAAAAUAUGGACUUCCUCCUCCUCUCCACCUCAUCCUGCUCUGGCUCCCAUUUCUCCAUCAUGUGGCCAACUGGCAUCCACCGGCAGCAGGAUGAUUCACGCUGGAUGUCAUGCUAUCAGCCUUCUGCACACAGCACCGCAUGUACAGGAUGACAUGGGUCUUUAUGAAAACCUUAAAUUUAUGUGUCAGAGAAGGACAGCAGGCUGAGCAUAGUGUGAGGGAUGUCCCAUACAAACCAGCACCCACUGGAAUCAUAAAAUUGGAAACUAACCAAUGAUCAAGAUCUUAGAACCAAGCAAAGUGAAGUGAAGCGAAGCUAUCAUCUAGUCAAACAGGCAUCCACCAAAUAAAGAUUUUUUUUAAAAAA